UAGCUCACCUUAAUAAACUUUUUCCCUUGCCCUGUUUCUUCUUCUUCUUCUUCUUCUCCUACUUUCACCAUAAAAUCCCAAGCUCUUCGAAUGAGAAAGAGAAAGCUUUAAACUUUUCUGGACCUGGGUUUCGUUCUUAUUUAUCUUCAACUAUUUCUGGUGGGCUUUCCUGUAAACUUCAAAAUCCACAAUAUAUAAGAGGAAAUCAGGCUCAGGGCGUGUUAGCUGAUAAGGAAAAAGUUUAAAAGAUGGUACAGAGAAAGAUGUUGAUUGAGUACAAAAAGAAAAAAAUCAUUUGAAGCUCUCAGUGUUGGCAACAUUGAGUUUUCAGUUUGAGACUACUGUGGAUUUAUGCUUCAAAUUCCUAGAUGGUGGGUCUUUUAUUAAGAGGCAAACUCUCUUUUGCCCUCUUUAAGAUUUCUGCAUUGCUAUUAUUAUUAUUAUUAUUAUUUUUUAUUUUUUUUCAGUUUUAAAAUUUGGCAGUUUCUGUUACAAAAAACAUGAUCCUUUUCGUUUUGGGAGUCUUGGGGAGUCAAACUUAGGAUCAUUGUGAAACAGUAGCUUUGACACUGGUUAUCCAGUCAGGAACAAAAACAUGACUUGAAUUGUCCAGAGAAUUUAAAAACAUCACUUACAUUUUCUGGAAAGGUAUGGUAACAAACAUAUCAUUAUGAUUUAUAUACGAAUUCAUCUUUGUAUUUUCA